rnacentral:rRNA from 1 species
GCGAACGCUGGCGGCAGGCCUAACACAUGCAAGUCGAACGAACCUUUCGGGGUUAGUGGCGGACGGGUGAGUCACACGUGGGAACGUGCCUUUAGGUUCGGAAUAACUCAGGGAAACUUGUGCUAAUACCGAAUGUGCCCUUCGGGGGAAAGAUUAAUCGCCUUUAGAGCGGCCCGCGUCUGAUUAGCUAGUUGGUUGAGGUAAUGGCUCACCAAGGCGACGAUCAGUAGCUGGUCUGAGAGGAUGAUCAGCCACAUUGGGACUGAGACACGGCCCAAACUCCUACGGGAGGCAGCAGUGGGGAAUCUUGCGCAAUGGGCGAAAGCCUGACGCAGCCAUGCCGCGUGAAUGAUGAAGGUCUUAGGAUUGUAAAAUUCUUUCACCGGGGACGAUAAUGACGGUACCCGGAGAAGAAGCCCCGGCUAACUUCGUG